rnacentral:rRNA from 1 species
GACGAACGCUGGCGGCGUGCCUAAUACAUGCAAGUCGAGCGAGUCUGCCUUGAAGAUCGGAGUGCUUGCACUCUGUGAAACAAGAUACAGGCUAGCGGCGGACGGGUGAGUAACACGUGGGUAACCUGCCCAAGAGAUCGGGAUAACACCUGGAAACAGAUGCUAAUACCGGAUAACAACAGAUGAUGCCUAUCAACUGUUUAAAAGAUGGUUCUGCUAUCACUCUUGGAUGGACCUGCGGUGCAUUAGCUAGUUGGUAGGGUAACGGCCUACCAAGGCGAUGAUGCAUAGCCGAGUUGAGAGACUGAUCGGCCACAUUGGGACUGAGACACGGCCCAAACUCCUACGGGAGGCAGCAGUAGGGAAUCUUCCACAAAGGACGCAAGUCUGAUGGAGCAACGCCGCGUGAGUGAAGAAGGGUUUCGGCUCGUAAAGCUCUGUUGUUGGUGAAGAAGGACAGGGGUAGUAACUGACCUUUGUUUGACGGUAAUCAAUGAGAAAGUCACGGCUAACUAAGUG